UACGUAGGGGGCGAGCGUUGUCCGAAGUUACUGGGCGUAAAGCGCGCGUAGGCGGUCCUUUAAGUCUGGGGUGAAAGGUUCAGCGCUCAACGCGAACAGUGCCUUGGAUACUGGGGGACUUGAGUCUGGGAGAGGGCAGUGGAAUUCCUGGUGUAGCGGUGAAAUGCGUAGAUAUCAGGAGGAACACCGGUGGCGAAGGCGGCUGCCUGGCCUAAGACUGACGCUGAGGUGCGAAAGCGUGGGGAGCGAACGGGAUUAGAAACCCCCGUAGUCC
rnacentral:rRNA from 1 species